rnacentral:misc_RNA from 1 species
AUUUAUCUUUAAUUGAAUAAGAAAAAUCAACUUCCCAUGUUACUUUAAAAUAUCAACUCACCGCAAAUAAAGAAUAGACCAGAGAUUAUCCAAUCCAAUCCAACUUUCUUUUUUAAAAAAAAUGAACUUUUAUGGUGCAAUCUAUCAGUAGAUCAUUAAAAAGAGACAAUAAUGUAAUAAAUAACAAAUGGUUUAUGUAACGCAGUGGUUGGAAAAGAAGACAUUGAAUUGAUCCAUUUUGUCUUCAUCUAUUAAAUUGCUCAUCCCUCAACAAUACUAGCAUCAUUAAAUGUACAAACUAUUUCCUCUGUCUCCCGUUGACCACUGUAAACUACAUAUUCACGAACACCCACAAACACGAUAAGAUUCAUGCUCCCUCUCUCAUACAUGGUGACAGGUCCCGCACGAGACCCCUCGCUACAGAAGAGAUAAUAUAAAUUUUCAUCCCAUGCAAUAAUUUCAAAACAAGGACUGAAUGUACGCAUAUGCACCUCAGUUAGAACCUAGGAUUAAGAUGCGUACAUAUAAUGUUCCCUACUGUAAAUAGGUUUCAAGAUAAAAAUGGAUCUUACAUAUUCUUAAGUUUCAUUCCACAUGAUGAUCACUUCAAGAUCAAAUGCAUAGGACUCUAAAUUGUCACCUCAAUAUACAGGCUCACUCUAUUUCCAAACAAGACAGUUCCUUCGAUAAAAACGAGGAUACCCUCUUUUGGCUCUUGCGACGAGAAAAAGAGGAGCGUAACCAUCAGAGUUCAGACAAUAUACGAUGUUGCUGUAGCAUACUGCUGCUACACUGGCAGUGCUCUAUAUCAAUUCAACGGUGUCUACAAUGUCAACACCACAACACAAAAUGAAAAUCUAACAAUCAAGAAACAUGAAAAGUAUUUUAUAUGCUAAUCACCAAUGUAUCAGCUCCACAAUGCAUAUACGAGGAAUACUAAAAAUUAUUGUUUAACAGAGUGCACUCCGAUCAGAUAGAAUAUAACAAAAGCCAAAUACUAGGGUUUCCCAUUGUUUUCACCUAUACAUUAAUUAUUCUUGGCCUCGUGUCCUCUCCCCCAGGUUUAUCAUAUUUUCUUCUGAUAUCUCCUCCCACCCAGUCUCAACCCCAUCCCUUUUCUCUUAUUCUCUCCUCUAAAUAACCAUAUAAAAAGCCAUCUCCAUCAGGCUAUUGCUAACUUCUUGAAGCAUGGAUCACAAGGGUUUGAAAGAAAAUGAGAUGAAGACAAGAAUCUUCCGCUGUGAAGACUACAAUAACAGAAGGGUGUUUCUGAGGAGUUAUCCCCUUCAAUGGGAAGAAGACAAUAGAGCCAAAGAAGAGAUGAGCAAGGUCCACAAGGAGAACUCCGAGAAGAAACUAAUCAAGAAGAUAAUCCUACCAAUACUUCACUGGGGUGAAGGGAAGGUUGUGGUCUUGAGGAGAUUUAAGGAUAAGAUCGCAGUCUAUGUCAUAGCUUGUGUCCCUGCUGCCUUUAAGCCACAUACAGCCCUAAUUUCAGCUUGAGCUUUGGCUUUUUCUUCUCAUCUUCUCCAGAGAGUAGCAGGUGUCUCUAUGGUUACUUUCACAGUUUCAUGCCACCUCUAUAUGAAUUGGAUAACAUAAAUCAAUACAUGCUCUAGGAUCUCUAUUGUCCAACUAAACAAGUGUGGAAAACAGAGUGCCUCUUUUUUCAGCUAUAGACUCUCUCACUCCAUCCUACAAUCUAUAUGAGAGGUUUUUAUGCAUCCAAAAUGCGCAAAUCAUGCCAAUGUCAUGCAAUAACAUGGUUUGCAAAAAUUUGACAUUUUCACUCCAAUGAAUCUCAGAAUUGCAAGUUUGUAACAUAAGCUAAGGUUGAUGCCAUGCCCAAAAGCAUUAGAAAAUACACAUUUUAGGUAACAUCAAACUCAGUCCUCCUAAAAUAUAUAACAAAUACAAUAAAAUAACACAUCAUACACCCAAUUUUCCAAG